AUUUAGCCAUGCUAGUCGAACGAGUUCAGACUCGUGGCGAAUAGCUCAGUAACACGUGGCCAAGCUCCCCUUCAGUCAGCGAUACCCUCGGGAAACUGAGAUUAACAGCUGAUACAAAACGCCAGCUGGAAUGCGGCGUUUCAGAAAGACAUCGCUGAAGGAUGCGGCUGCGGCCGAUUAGGUAGACGGUGGGGUAACGGCCCACCGUGCCAGUAAUCGGUACGGGUGAUGAGAGUCAGAGCCCGGAGACGGAAUCUGAGACAAGAUUCCGGGCCCUACGGGGCGCAGCAGGCGCGAAACCUUUACACUGCACGGAAGUGCGAUAGGGGAAUCCCAAGUGCGAGGGCAUAUUAGCCCUCGCUUUUCUCGACUGUAAGGUGGUCGACGAAUAAGAGCUGGGCAAGACCGGUGCCAGCCGCCGCGGUAAUACCGGCAGCUCAAGUGAUGUCCCAUAUUAUUGGGCCUAAAGCGUCCGUAGCUGGCCGACCAAGUCUACCGGGAAAUCCACCCGCCCAACGGGUGGGCGUCCGGUAGAAACUGGCCGGCUUGGAACCGGAAGGCUCAGAGAGUACGUCCGGGGUAGGAGUGAAAUCCCGUAAUCCCGGACGGACUACCGAUGGCGAAAGCACUCUG
rnacentral:rRNA from 1 species